GGCUCGCUGCCCUGGGGGGCAGUGAGUCGCCGGAUUCCUGACCACACCUGCCCAGAGGUGCGCGGGGCCCUCCGAGGCUGACCUCGCCGCCGACCAGUGUAUUUUGCAUGUGAAAAACCACCACAGACCCUGGGAAGGGUGCAGGGGACCAGCCCAAUCCUGAGCACGCUGCUGUGUUGUAAAUGGCGGAGUCUCACGUGCAGAGAAGGGGACAGAGAGCUGCUGACCUUGGUCAACAGGCACACAAGGUCCCGGUGGAAAACAGCUUCUUCAAGGAAUCUGCCUGGGGAGGGUCCGCAUUGUCCCUCAAGAGGACACUGGCGUCCGCAUGCCCCCAAGUUGGGUUAACCGCCUCCUCCCUGCUGUCACGUAGGCCCCGGCUUCUCCCCCCCGAGGGGACGGAUGGCGGAGGCAGGUGACCCCCGGUGCCCUGUCUUGCCUGGAUCUGACUCCCCGUCAUGGAAGACCACCUCCUCAUCUGCCUGGGGCCGAUGGGCCGUGCUGGAGGGGAGCUGUUUGCACUGCGGCCCCCGUUGGCUUGUCCAAGUCUUCCCUGUACGCCCGAGGGGCCCUGGGCACACAGAGGUGGCCCCGGUCCUGCCCCCGCACACAGGGCAGCCUGAUGCUGAAGCAGAGGGAAAGGACAGCUGAUGGCCAGUCGCUCAGGCCAGACGCUGGUAUGUCUGCGUCCUCUUUAAAUCCUCGCUCAGCCCCUUCUCGUUUCCCUCUACUUCACGGACCAGAGGAUUCUGAGAGGUCAGUGACUGGUCCGAGGUCAGCUAGGAAGCGGGACCCAGGAUUCCAGCCCAGGACUGCUAUGGGGAGGAUCACGCGGGAUAAUGUAUGCUAAGGCAUGCUGCGAACAUGGCCUGCUGGGGCCAGGAGCUACUGCGCUAAUGAUCUGCUGCUGCCGAGGGAGAACUUGCACUUAAACUUGAUGCCUUUCAUUUUCGUGCCACCUGGGAGGGAGGGAAGGCCGGUGGAUUGCUGCCACCUGAGGCUCAGAUGGGGACGGCGCCCUGCUGGGGGUGUAGGCGGGGCCAGGAGUCACGUCCUGGGUCCCAGGCCAAGGGCUCUUUCCAUGACUGCUUUUUGAAAACCCCCAGGUGGAUGUGAAUACAUCAUACUAUACACACAUAUGUAAUCUGUGUUUUGUGUCACAGUUAUGUCUUUUAUUCUUCGUGUCUCGGCCGCUCCGGCGUGGGUGUGCCGGACACCCGCCGGGCUGGCCGGGGAGGGAGGAGGGUCAAGGGUCAGAGCAGAGGCCCCUUUGGUUUCUGGGAAGCUGUCUGAACAUCCAGGGUCUCAUGGCGUACACGGUCCUGGGG